rnacentral:lncRNA from 1 species
ACCGGGAACACAUUAUCGUCAACAAACAGCGUUGAAGCCUAUGCGGCUAAGGUACGGCGGGAACUGGAUGAAAAAAUCACUAAAGAACUGGAAGAGGCCACUGCUGAACUUGAAACUGGAUCUGCUGGAGCUUCUCCCAUGGUAUCUACUGAUGGAUCUUCCAGAAAUGUCCAUGUUGACCAGGAUCCCCUUGCCAGGGCAAUACAGGAGUACCGUGAUGUUCUAACCAAAAAUUAUAUGAUUUGAACAAAAUGCUAGGCAGAGGCUCGGGAAAUAAUUUUGUUUACAUAGCGCAUCUGUGGUUUCCCAUCCUUCAGACUGUUCAGAUGUGAAAACGUGUUUAUUUUUAUUGUCUGAAUAUAAAUUCUAAGUCUAUUAAAUGGAUGUCAAGCACGUUGCGCUUACCUGAUGGUUUAUUGAUGCACAGUUGUUUUAUUUUGCACUCACACGAAGAACCAUAUCUAUUUUUUCUGACUGGCAGAUGGACUACUCUUGACUCUUG